AGUGAACGCUGGCGGCAGGCCUAAUACAUGCAAGUCGAACGGCAGCACAGCAGAGCUUGCUCUGUGGGUGGCGAGUGGCGGACGGGUGAGGAAUACAUGGGAAUCUGCCCAGUCGUGGGGGAUAACGUAUGGAAACGUACGCUAAUACCGCAUGCGCCCUACGGGGGAAAGUCGGGGACCGCAAGGCCUGACGCGAUUGGAUGAGCCCAUGUUCGAUUAGCUAGUUGGCGGGGUAAAGGCCCACCAAGGCGACGAUCGAUAGCUGGUCUGAGAGGAUGAUCAGCCACACUGGAACUGAGACACGGUCCAGACUCCUACGGGAGGCAGCAGUAGGGAAUAUUGGACAAUGGGGGCAACCCUGAUCCAGCCAUGCCGCGUGAGUGAUGAAGG
rnacentral:rRNA from 1 species